GGAAUUCUAGAGCCCCAGAAUCCUGGAAUCCCAGAACCCCAGAAUCCUGGAAUCCCAGAAUCCUGGAACCCCAGAAUCCCAGUACCCCAAAAUCCUGGAAUCCCAGAAUUCUGGACCCCAGUACCCCGGAACCCUGGAGCCUCAGAAUCCUGGAAUGCCAGAAUCCUGGAACUCCAGACUCCCAGAAUCCCAUCAUCCCAGAAUCGUGAGAUCCCAUAAUAUCAGAACCCCGGAAUCCCGGAAUUCCAGGGUUCUGGGAUGGGAAGGGAGCUCUGGAGAUGUCCCUGUGCUCUCAGCACGGGGGUGACAACUUGGAGGAUUUGGGCAGAAAUUUGAGAGAUUUGUGCGGGAAUUUUGAGGGAUUUCUAUGGAUAUUGGAGAUAUUUCUACGGAUUAAUGGGAUCCCCCUUUGGACAGGAGAUUUUUACGGAUAUUGGAGAUAUUUCUAGGAACAUUCGAGGCAUUUCUGUCCCUCGAGCCCCCUUGAAGCCACCAGGGAGAUUUUAGGGUUUUUUCCCCACCCCACAUCCAGCCCCCAGCGGGUUUUUAGCUCAAAUAAGGCAAAUAAAGAGAGCUCAGAGGCAUUUCCUGCCCUUGGCUUCCUGUUCUGCAGAGCAUCAGCCCCAAAUCAGGUGACAGAGGUGACAAAUUCGGCCUCCAAAUCCGGUGACAAAGUGACAAAAUUAGGGUGCAGUGGUGAGAAAAAUCCGCCCCAAAGUCAGGGGACAAAGUGACGGAAAUCGGGUGACAGGUGACAAAAAUCAGCCCCAAAUCGGGUGACAGAGGUGACAGAAAUCAGCCCCAAAUCGGGUGACAGAGAUGACAGAAAUCAGCCCCAAAUCGGGUGACAGGUGACAAAAAUCAGCCCCAAAUCGGGUGACAGAGGUGACAGAAAUCAGCCCUAAAUUGGGUGACAGGUGACAAAAAUCAGCCCUAAAUUGGGUGACAGAGAUGACAGAAAUCAGCCCCAAAUCGGGUGACAGAGGUGACAAAAAUCAGCCCCAAAUCGGGUGACAGAGAUGACAGAAAUCAGCCCCAAAUCGGGUGACAGAGGUGACAGAAAUCAGCCCCAAAUCGGGUGACAGAG